rnacentral:rRNA from 1 species
CGUGAAAUUGUUGAAAGGGAAGCGCCUAUGACCAGACUUGGGCCCGGUGAAUCAUCCAGCGUUCUCGCUGGUGCACUUUGCCGGGCACAGGCCAGCAUCAGUUUGGCUUGGGGGAAAAAGGCUUUGGGAACGUAGCUCCUCGGAGUGUUAUAGACCAUUGCAUAAUACCCUGGGCCGGACU